UACGAAGGGGGCUAGCGUUGCUCGGAAUGACUGGGCGUAAAGGGCGCGUAGGCGGAUGGCACAGUCAGAUGUGAAAUUCCCGGGCUUAACCUGGGGGCUGCAUUUGAUACGUGUGAUCUAGAGUGAGGAAGAGGGUCGUGGAAUCCCCAGUGUAGAGGUGAAAUUCGUAGAUAUUGGGAAGAACACCGGUGGCGAAGGCGGCGACCUGGUCCUUGACUGACGCUGAGGCGCGAAAGCGUGGGGAGCAAACAGG
rnacentral:rRNA from 1 species